UUGUGUCUUAAUACCCCUCCAACGCUCACCAGCAUAUCCAAGUUAUUUCUUUUUCAGCAUUUUAUCCUCUUGAACAAUAAUAUCUUUAUAUGUUUACAUAAUAUAGUUAAUAUUAGUAUUAAACCAAAAAAAUAAAUGGUCAUCUAUACUUAUAAAACAAUCAUAAAAUUCAUAAUAAAUACUGUAAUAUUGGUCCAUAUGCUAUCUUUCAAAUCAACAUCAACA
rnacentral:lncRNA from 1 species